rnacentral:rRNA from 2 species
GACGAACGCUGGCGGCGUGCCUAAUACAUGCAAGUCGAGCGGGGUUAUGUUAGAAGCUUGCUUCUAACAUCAACCUAGCGGCGGACGGGUGAGUAACACGUAGGCAACCUGCCCAUGAGACUGGGAUAACUACCGGAAACGUGUAGCUAAUACCGGAUACAUCCUUUCCCUGCAUGGGGAGAGGAGGAAAGACGGAGCAAUCUGUCACUGAUUGGAUGGGCCUGCGGCGCAUUAGCUAGUUGGUGGGGUCAAGGCCUACCAAGGCGACGAUGCGUAGCCGACCGUGAGAGGGUGAUCGGCCACACUGGGACUGAGACACGGCCCAGACUCCUACGGGAGGCAGCAGUAGGGAAUUCUUCCGCAAUGGGCGAAAGCCUGACGGAGCAACGCCGCGUGAGUGAUGAAGGUUUUCGGAUCGUAAAGCUCCUGUUGCCAGGGAAGAACGUCUUGUAGAGUAACUGCUACAAGAGUGACGGUACCUGAGAAGAAAGCCCCGAGCUAACUACGUGCCAGCAGCCGCGGUAAUACGUAGGGGGCAAGCGUUGUCCGGAAUUAUUGGGCGUAAAGUCGCGCGCAGGCGGCUCUUUAAGUCUGGUGUUUAAUCCCGAGGCUCAACUUCGGGUCGCACUGGAAACUGGGGGAGCUUGAGUGCAGAAGAGGAGAGUGGAAUUCCACGUGUAGCGGUGAAAUGCGUAGAUAUGUGGAGGAACCACCAGUGGCGAAGGCGACUCUCUGGGCUGUAACUGACGCUGAGGCGCGAAAGCGUGGGGAGCAAACAGGUAUUAGAUACCCUGGUAGUCCACGCCGUAAACGAUGAAUGCUAGGUGUUAGGGGUUUCGAUACCCUUGGUGGCCGAAGUUAACACAUUAAGCAUUCCGCCUGGGGAGUACGGUCGCAAGACUGAAACUCAAAGGAAUUGACGGGGGACCCGCACAAGCAGUGGAGUAUGUGGUUUAAUUCGAAGCAACGCGAAGAACCUUACCAGGUCUUGACCAUCCCCCUGACCGGUCUAGAGAUAGACCUUUCCUUCGGGACAGGGGAGACAGGUGGUGCAUGGUUGUCGUUCAGCUCGUGUCGUGAGAUGUUGGGUUAAGUCCCGCAACGAGCGCAACCCUUAUGCUUAGUUGCCAGCAGGGUCAAGCUGGGCACUCUAAGCAGACUGCCGGUGACAAACCGGAGGAAGGUGGGGAUGACGUCAAAUCAUCAGUGCCCCUUAUGACCUGGGCUACACACGUACUACAAUGGCCGGUACAACGGGAAGCGAAAGAGCGAUCUGGGAGCGAAUCCUAGAAAAGCCGGUCUCAGUUCGGAUUGCAGGCUGCAACUCGCCUGCAUGAAGUCGGAAUUGCCUAGUAAUCGCGGAUCAGCAUGCCGCGGUGAAUACGUUCCCGGGUCUUGUACACACCGCCCGUCACACCAUCGAGAGUUUACAACACCCGAAGUCGGUGGGGUAACCCGCAAGGGAGCCAGCCGCCGAAGGUGGGGUAGAUGGAUUGGGGUGAAGUCGUAACAAGGUAGCCGUAUCGGAAGGUGC